GAAAAAUCAUUCUUGUUCACUCUUUCUUUUUUUUUUUUUUCUUAUUGAGUCUGUAUGAAUCUUUUUCAGGAUGAACCCCUGGGCACAGCGGCAGUGGUUGUGUGAGAGCAGAAACAAACAUUCUCCUCGUGUUACUCAUGCCAGCAGUCUGAGCAGGAGGAAGGAAGCAGAUGUCAAAUUCUCAUGACAAACCAGGACCUGGAAAAGUGCUGAGUGCCAGGGGAAUGGCUGAACUUGAAAAUAUAAGGAUAUCUGGAAAUACACAAGCUGAGUUACAUAAGGAUUGUAUUGCAAGUGGAAUUUACAAUAUAAUGGCUCACCUCUGCACAAGAGGCUUCCUACAUAGAGGUGACAUCAGGAGUUGUCUGAUGCCUUAUUUGCCCCUUUGGAGCUUUCAGUAGGAGCAAAUACGUUCUUAGCACUGCAUGGAGAACACCCUCAGCCCCGGGUCUUCAUUGGAACACUCCUCUGUCAGAGCAAGAGCUGGUGAGGAUGGCACACGAGAGGCACACAUGGGGAAAAAAUCUGUUUUCUUUUUUUAAUUCAGCACUUUGACCUGAAACAUUAAGGCGAGCUGUGCAAAGAGCUGCUUGCAGAGUAGAAUGCUGCAAGGUAGGAGGAGAAGCUCUGCUUAAGAGAAAAUCUGCUUCGGUCUACGAAACAAUCCCACCACAAAAUAAAAUUAAAAGUAAUGAGAUUUUCCA
rnacentral:lncRNA from 1 species